rnacentral:tRNA from 1 species
GGGUCAAUAGCUCAGUGGUAGAGCAGCAGAUUGCAGAUCUGUAGGUCACCGGUUCGAUCCCGGUUUGGCCCUU